UGGGGAGUGGAAGCCAGCCUCCCCAAAACCACAAAUUCCUGUUUGUUCAACAACAACAACAAAUGAUGGAUAAAGGAGCCUUUUCAGUCAAGGACACAGCAGCUGCACAUGGAAGCAAACGCAACUCGUCCUUCCAGGAGAAAGGGGCCUGACUUUGGAGUUUCCACGAAGGACUAGAAUUUCCCAGGGCUGGAAUCCGCAGAAUGUAAAUAGCCUUCUACAGAUGACUCUGGAAACCUGGGUUGCCCUCCCUGUUUUUCCGUGGCGAACGUGGGAAGAGAACUUGCCAGAUUUAUACGCUGUCUGGAAUGCAGAAAUGCAUUGGGUGACUUCAUCCAUGUGGUAGCAGAUAAAUAAAUAAGCCCGGGUGUCAUUCCUAACCAUCAGAGGCUGCAACUGUUAUGAAAGGACUUCUUCUGUCCAGAUGGUAUAAUAAAUAUAUAUUCAGUUCUA